AUUGAACGCUGGCGGCAGGCCUAACACAUGCAAGUCGAGCGGAUGAAGGGAGCUUGCUCCUGGAUUCAGCGGCGGACGGGUGAGUAAUGCCUAGGAAUCUGCCUGGUAGUGGGGGAUAACGUCCGGAAACGGGCGCUAAUACCGCAUACGUCCUGAGGGAGAAAGUGGGGGAUCUUCGGACCUCCCGCUAUCAGAUUAGCCUAGGUCGGAUUAGCUAGUUGGUGGGGUAAAGGCCUACCAAGGCGACGAACCGUAACUGGUCUGAGAGGAUGAUCCGUCACACUGGAACUGAGACACGGUCCAGACUCCUACGGGAGGCAGCAGUGGGGAAUAUUGGACAAUGGGCGAAAGCCUGAUCCAGCCAUGCCGCGUGUGUGAAGAAGGUCUUCGGAUUGUAAAGCACUUUAAGUUGGGAGGAAGGGCAGUAAGUUAAUGCCUUGCUGUUUUGACGUUACCAACAGAAUAAGCACCGGCUAACUUCGUG
rnacentral:rRNA from 1 species